UCCCUUUUAAAAGCACUCAGUGGGCCUUUUGCUAAUGACCCAUUGAGCCGUCAAAAAGGGGCAGAAUGAAAAUACUGCUUUUGAGUGAAGUGGCAGCAUGUGCUGUUUUGCUUCAUUUGUUGGUGUGACAAGC